GUGGUGGUGGGGGUGGGGGUCUUCAAAACCAGCAGAUGCA
rnacentral:tRNA from 1 species